ACCGAGCAAAAGCAGAAGUCGAGCGGUACUCGAUACCACCGAGGGAUCAAAACAACCGGAGAUGAAGACAGCCGAUACGACGUCGACCGCAGCCAACGGCAAUUCCCAUGGAGAAAAAGACAAAUACGACGACAAGAUCGCCGGAUUCCUUGCGUUUUCAGGUAACGCCAUGAACACUCUCAAAUCCUUCAACCCUUUCAAAAACAACGACUUCAGUAGCAGUACCAGCACCUGGAGUAGCAAAUUCUGCCAAGCAUCAACUCCGCCACUUGAACAAUCCCGGGCGUCUGCUCCUCUGCGUGGAGACAAAGACAAAGACAAUGACAAGACCUCUGAAUUCGUCCUGUUUUCCGGUACCGUCGUGAGCAUUCUCAAAGCCCUCAACCCUAAAAAUAGCAGCAACAUCUGGAGCAGAAAACCGUGCCACGAAUCAACUCCGCCACUUGAAGAAUCCCAGGCGCCCGCUCCUCCGGAAGCUGUCAAGAACCUGGCGAGAUCCCAAGAGCAAGACAGGCCACAAUCGUCGUGUCUAACUAUAGAGAUUGAGAGGGGAGAUACCCUUUGGGGUCUCUCUCGGAAAUACGGGGUGUCGAUUGAUGCGAUCAAGGCGGCUAAUGGGCUCGCAGGGGACACCAUUUAUGCUGGGAAGAAACUCAUCAUUCCAGAUGUUUGAUAUUUCUUCUUCUUCUUCUCCCUUGUAGUUUCCUUGUGCACUGUGCUGUAGAUUUUAAUUUUAUGCUUUUUUUUCUCCUUUUUUUGUUUUUUGUUUUGGAAGCGAAGGGAUGAACAUUCAAUGUAACAAAGAGGAAAAGUUCACUGGUUAUGGUGACUUCGGACUUGGGAUGUCGGGUCUGGGCUUACGAUUUGAGUCCACGAGAUAUGUGCCUUUGGUUGGAAAUUUAGAAUUGAAUUGAAACUUGUUUAAAAUGAUCUAUAAUGAUUUUGAUUUUUUAUUUUGUAAUAAUGAUUUUGAAUUCCAUGCCUCUUCUGUUCUAUUUCUCUAGUCAUUUGUUAUCACUUUAUGUGCUGAUUUAAUAUGCAUUGCAAAGAUGUCUUGUUUACCAUGGAUAUAGGCAAGAGACCUAUUUCAGCUAUAUGUUUCAAGCCAGGUGAGUUUUCUUGCUGUCUCAUGCCUAAUGAAACAGUUCCUUCUUUUUAGCACCAAUUUUCUCUUUGCUUUCUAAGAUUCAUCUGCAAAAUAUGUGUUUCUGUGAAAAUUCAGGCUAGCACUUUUCUGAGCUUGGAAAUUCAUAGAACUUUAGUAUUUGGUAGUGCCUUGGCAAUUCCUAGUGUGUUCACUGUUCUGUUCAUCCUUUUUGGCUUCUGUAUGCUUGGGGGAUCUUUGUGUUUGAUUUUUAUUCUUUCAUUGAUUAACAAGUUUGUAAGUCAUACAUUUUCCCAAUCUUUAUUGGCAGAAAGCAUUGAUUUUACUAGCUCAAAGUCUUACCAGCAUGGUUUUAAACGGCGCCAAUGAUGAACUCGCCUCCUGAAAGAGAGAUGAUGCCCAAGAAGGCUUAAGCAUUGAGGCAUGAGGAGUAUGCCUAGGCAAUAAAAGGCAUAAGCCUCAGAAGUUCUUUUACAGCUUGGCAUGCAUAGGGAGAUUAUUUUGGUCACAUUGACCAAAUAACACUAAAUUAUAACAUAAAGAAUUCAUGUUUAAUGUCCAAUGUUCUGUUUGU